rnacentral:lncRNA from 1 species
UUUAUUAAACUUUAAUUAAAAGAAAACAACUAAAUGGCAAUAAAGUCAUUUAAUUAUCCUUAAAAUAAUGUAAUAAUAAAACUUCCUCAAAAGAAUGUGAGUAUAGUUAGACAAUUUCAUCAGAUGCACCCAAAUUUACUCUUAGUUGUAGGAAACUCAAUUGAUGGAAAGUAUGAAGGUCAGCCAAUUCCAUGGUCAAGGGUUAAAUUUCCAUGUAAAUCAUCAAAACAUGAUUUUGACUCUUCAAUUUCACGAAGAUCAAGCACAUUCCAUUAGAAUUUUGAAAAAAAGUGUGCUUCUACAAUUAUUUACCUAGGAUACUUGAUCUUAUAAGAAACUAUUCAAUUAAAAAUAUAAUAAGAGUAUUUUUUUUCGUAUUACAAAGACACGGAUACUUGAUCAAAUUAAACUAACACCUAUGGAUAAAGAUUCUUACUUUCUCUUGUUCGACCCUUUAGGAUUUUUGGUGUUGAGAGUUUUGAGUUUCUUGUAAGAUCCAUCCUAAUCCUCCUCCAUCUUAUGGCAAUUAGUUGAGAAGGAAAAAUCUCUAAUAGUUAUAGCAACAACCACAUGUUG